rnacentral:lncRNA from 1 species
UAUAACCCUCCUUCUGACCCCCCCAAAAAUGUAGAUAAAUGUUUUAGCAAGUAUGAUAGGCCUUAUGCACAUAUGCACACACACUCACACACACUCACACACACUCACACACAUUCACACACAUUCACACACACUCACACACACUCACACACAUUCAUACACACUCACACACAUUCAUACACACUCACACACAUUCACACACACUCACACACAUUCACACACACUCACACACAUUCACACACACUCACACACAUUUAUUCACACUCACACACAUUCAUACACACUCACACACAACCAUACACACUCACACACGCUCACACACAUUCACACACACUCAUACACAUUCAUACACACUCACACACAUUCACACACACUCACACACAUUCACACACACUCACACACAUUCACACACACCCACACUCACACACACUCACACACAUUCAUACACACUCACACACAUUCAUACACACUCACACACAUUCACACACACUCACACACAUUCACACACACUCACACACAUUCACACACACUCACACACAUUUAUACACACUCACACACAUUCAUACACACUCACACACAACCAUACACACUCACACACGCUCACACACAUUCACACACACUCAUACACAUUCAUACACACUCACACACAUUCACACACACUCACACACAUUCACACACACUCACACACAUUCACACACACCCACACUCACACACACUCACACACAUUCAUACACACUCACACACAUUCACACACAUUCACACACAUGCAUACACACUCACACACAUUCACACACACUCACACACACUCACACACAUUCAUACACACUCACACACAUUCAUACACACUCACACACAUUCACACACACUCACACACACUCACACACACUCACACACAUUCAUACACACUCACACACAUUCAUACAUACUCACACACAUUCACACACACUCACACACAUUCACACACACUCACACACAUUCACACACACUCACACACAUUCACACACACACUCACACACAUUCACACACACUCACACACAUUCAUACACACUCACACACAUUCAUACACACUCACACACAUUCACACAAACUCACACACAUUCAUACACACAUUCACACACACUCACACACAUUCAUACACACUCACACACAUUCACACACACUCACACACAUUCAUACACACUCACACACAUUCAUACACACUCACACACAUUCAUACACACUCACUUACACACAUUCACACACACUCACACACAUUCAUACACACAUUCACACACACUCACACACACUCACACACAUUCACACACACUCACAUGGGCAGGCAGACCUGUGUGUGUGAACAUAUACGUAUGUACACACAUCUCAUACUG